rnacentral:rRNA from 1 species
AAAGUNNGUACAGGUUUCCGUAGGUGACCUGCGGAAGGAUCAUUA